GAGUUUGAUCUUGGCUCAGAACGAACGCUGGCGGCAGGCUUAACACAUGCAAGUCGAACGCACUCUUCGGAGUGAGUGGCAGACGGGUGAGUAACGCGUGGGAAUCUACCUAUUUCUACGGAAUAACGCAGAGAAAUUUGUGCUAAUACCGUAUACGUCCUUAGGGAGAAAGAUUUAUCGGAGAUAGAUGAGCCCGCGUUGGAUUAGCUAGUUGGUAGGGUAAUGGCCUACCAAGGCGACGAUCCAUAGCUGGUCUGAGAGGAUGACCAGCCACAUUGGGACUGAGACACGGCCCAGACUCCUACGGGAGGCAGCAGUGGGGAAUAUUGGACAAUGGGCGCAAGCCUGAUCCAGCCAUGCCGCGUGAGUGAUGAAGGCCCUAGGGUUGUAAAGCUCUUUCACCGGUGAAGAUAAUGACGGUAACCGGAGAAGAAGCCCCGGCUAACUUCGUGCCAGCAGCCGCUGUAAAAC
rnacentral:rRNA from 1 species